rnacentral:rRNA from 1 species
UACGAAGGGGGCUAGCGUUGCUCGGAAUCACUGGGCGUAAAGCGCACGUAGGCGGAUCUUUAAGUCAGAGGUGAAAUCCCAAGGCUCAACCUUGGAACUGCCUUUGAUACUGGGGAUCUCGAGUCCGGAAGAGGUGAGUGGAACUGCGAGUGUAGAGGUGAAAUUCGUAGAUAUUCGGAGGAACACCAGUGGCGAAGGCGGGUCUCUGGACAGUUCCUGACGCUGAGGCACGAAGGCCAGGGGAGCAAACGGG